GUAGAUAUUGCUUUGAAUUGGUGACC
rnacentral:piRNA from 1 species